rnacentral:lncRNA from 1 species
GCCGUCGUCCGGGACUGCUGUUACCAUUUCGGUAUGUUCUGCAGUCUUCUCUGGACAGCGAACAGGUUCUGUCGGGCCAAUCACAGCCUCUCUGUGCUUCAGACUCCUCAUCAGUGCGAUGCGAGGAAGUAGCAGCACCUACAUGUAAGCGCCAUAUGAAGUGUAGGUGAGGUGAGGAACACACAUUCCUCACACAUCUAAUACUGGACACAAAGUAAGUGUGUGAGAUUGUGUGCUGCUUUGUGUAUUUCUGAAUAGUUAUCACACUUUAUACAUUAUUUUAUUCUUUUUUAAAACAUUGUAUCACCAGUAUUUCCCCAAAUCUUUGCUUAUUUUCUACCCAGUGAGACAGUCUCUCUAUGUAGCCCAGGUAGACCUCAGACUCACUACUAUCCUCCUGCCUCUGCCUCUGCCUCAGCCUCUCCAGUGCUGGAGUUACUGAUGUGGACCACUAGCUUGCCUUUCUAGUGACUACAUACCCUGAACAGAUAACUUUCCCUUAGUCAUGCCCCUUUAUUAGACGUUCUUCUUUAAUAUGUAAAUGUUAAGACAGCCUCAAUUUCUCAGGAAAUUCAAAGGCCUUCUUUGCCUCUGAACAACUUGAAAGAAGCUGCCAACUUGAUUUCCCCAUCAUUUACAAAUAUCUUUGUGAAAGAUUUCCAACAAGACAUUGCCCUACAUAACUCAAGUUCAAACUGUAAAAUUGGAAAAUUAACAUAGGAACAUUGGAGUCUAAUCCUCAGACACUAGUCAGGUGUCUCCACAUCUCUCUCUCUUUAACAUUUUAAAAAAUGUGUAUGCUUGCACGUGUGCCUGUGCGUGUUCCGGCGGAGUCAAGAAAGGAUAUCAGAUCCCCUGAAACUAGAGAUACAAGCGGCUAUACGUCACUGGAUGUGGAUGCUGAGAACUGAACACAGGUCCUUUAGAAGAGCAGCAGAUGCUCUCAGCCACCGAGAUACUCCUUAAGCCCCUCUACUUCUUAACAACAAAUUCCAAUUCAUAGACAUAGAUAUUUAAACUGCGUGCCAUGUCUUUUUAGUCUCUCUUUUGCUCUGGAGUAGUCCUGAGUGUUUACUGACACUUCUGAGGACUGUGAGCUGGCUGUUGUGUUAGAGCGGCCUUCACUGUCCGUCUGGCAUAUUAGAGUCACUAGAAGUGUUGCAGAGGUGCCGUGUGUUCUUACUGUGCGCUGUGCUAUAUACCAUGUCUACUUUGACUUCGACAACCUAUGACAGAGAAUUUUCUUGGACAGACACUUCCCUUGCCCCACCCAUGCUCUAGUAUCUUACAUCAAGUAACCUCUCUUUUGGGGAUGCUCUCUUCAAUUUGCCUGGACUCCAGCUCACACACCAGCCUAUUUUUGUUUUUUGCAAAAAUCCUGUACCUCAUGUAGAAUCUGAAACCAUGUGCCAGAUUGUACCUACAGCCUCAGCCAACCUGGGGUUCCAGUUCCCUGAACUAUACCAUCACUGCAAUAUGCUUUGGCUUUGACACUGUCUCAGGCUGACCCUAGCAGGAAUGCCUUUCUCACCUGUUGGCUUAACAUCCUACAGAAGCCCUCCCAUGUGAGCCCUUCCUUCCCCCAUUCUUCUGGUGCAAUACUUCUUUAAGAUUCACAUUGUUUAUGUAGGUUCUAGUAGGUUCCCUCACCUGACAAAAGCUUUCAUUAGAUAUAUUGUUGAUAGUCUUUUGGUAGUAAUGGUGUACUUUCAUUUCAACAAUUAAAAAAUAACUUGGGUAAUAAAAUAUACACAUACAUGAUUUAUCUGAGAUGUUCGUUGCAUUAUCACAUAGAGCCAUUACUUUCUGUUAAAAUUGAAUUGACACUGUAAGAUUACUUACAUGACAAUAUUUAACUUUUCAUGUGUUGGUAGCCAUUUUGUAGGCAUAUCUUAGCAUCAGAAAUAACCAGGCUAUGUUAUGUGGAUUCGUGAGAGUCAUACUGGGUUAUCUUACCACUUUUAGAGCUAAAACUUCUCAGUGAUGAGAUACAAUUGAGUUUAGUUUAUUUCAGUUGUUUGGUUUUGUUGAGACAGUAUCUUGCUAUGUGGCUCUAGCUGGCCUGAAAUUCAUUAUGUAGCCCAGGGUGUCCCUUCAGUUUGUAUCACCCUUUUACCCUCUGGAUGCUGGGUUACCAGGGAAACAAAUACCACCUCCCAACCCCCCUUAACUUCUUUAUAUGGGGGUUUCGUAUCUUAAUUUAUUUAAUAAAUUGAUUGUGGUUUUGCAUCAUAAAAACAGUCAUGCCCCUGCUUUAAUUGUCACAGACUAGUGAGAAACGAACGAGGCGAGUUUAGUUCACAAACAAUGCAGCCGUGCAGAGUGCAGGUCACAUGAUUUCAUAGCGCCCAGCACAAAUGAAAUCUCUAGUUCAAGUAGAAAAACAUUUGGAGGAAUUGGGGCCAUGAGGAAUGGGGCUUAUAGUAGCCCAGGCUAAACUCAGAAGCACCCAAGCAAAGCUAUCACUUUACUCAAGGUGUGAGCAUUAUAUAUUAGUCUGGCUUUGUUUAUGUCACAUUAAAACCUCAAAGUAAUCUCCACCAUGAACUUUUUUUUAGAUUUUUUUGUGUAUGUACUAUAUAUUAUAUCUUACUAUAGUUAAUUAUAUAUUAUUGCAUAAUAUAUAUGUGAGUGUCUUCCUUCAUGUGUGCCUAUGACUUCAGGGUCAGAAGAGGGCAUUGGAUUCUCUAGGACUAGAGUUAUGGAUGGCUGUAAACCAGGGAAUUGAACCUGGUUCCUCUGCAGGACCAACAAGUACUCUUAACUUGGUGAGCCAUCUUUCCAGGCCUAUCAAGAACUUUUUAUUAAAAGC